rnacentral:rRNA from 1 species
CUAAGUUUGAUGGCGACCGGCGCACGGGUGAGUAACACGUAUCCAACCUGCCGAUGACUCGGGGAUAGCCUUUCGAAAGAAAGAUUAAUACCCGAUGGCAUAGUUCUUCCGCAUGGUAGAACUAUUAAAGAAUUUCGGUCAUCGAUGGGGAUGCGUUCCAUUAGGUUGUUGGCGGGGUAACGGCCCACCAAGCCUUCGAUGGAUAGGGGUUCUGAGAGGAAGGUCCCCCCACAUUGGAACUGAGACACGGUCCAAACUCCUACGGGAGGCAGCAUG